UAUAGUUCAACCAGGUAGAACAUUUUGCUCAUAACAAAAAUGUUGCAGGUUCAAAUCCUUCUAG
rnacentral:tRNA from 1 species